AACGAACGCUGGCGGCGCGCUUAACACAUGCAAGUCGAACGAGAAGGCGUAGCAAUACGCUUGUACAGUGGCGAACGGGUGAGGAAUACAUGGGUAACCUACCCUCGAGUGGGGGAUAACCCGCCGAAAGGCGGGCUAAUACCGCGUACGCUUCCGAUCUUGCGGGAUUGGAAGGAAAGCUGUCCCUUGGGGAUGGCGCUCAAGGAUGGGCUCAUGUCCUAUCAGCUUGNGGUAGGGUAACGGCCUACCAAGGCAUCGACGGGUAGCUGGUCUGAGAGGACGAUCAGCCACACUGGCACUGCGACACGGGCCAGACUCCUACGGGAGGCAGCAGUGAGGAAUAUUGCGCAAUGGGCGAAAGCCUGACGCAGCGACGCCGCGUGGGGGAUGAAGGUCUUCGGAUUGUAAACCCCUUUCGGGAGGGAAGACGGCCUUAGACAACUAAGGCGAACGGUACCUCCAGAAGCAGCCACGGCUAACUUCGUGCCAGCAGCCGCAGU
rnacentral:rRNA from 1 species